rnacentral:tRNA from 2 species
GGGCGGUUAGCUCAGCUGGAUAGAGCACAUGGCUUCGAACCAUGGGGUCAGGAGUUCGAAUCUCUUACCGCCCACCA